rnacentral:tRNA from 1 species
GCGAUUCUGCAGAUGGUAUUCAAGCUAAAAGGUUCUUAAAAUCCCUCGAUGGCAACGUCGUGCGGGUUCGAUUCCCGCCGUCCGCACCA